UACGUAGGGGGCAAGCGUUGUCCGGAAUCAUUGGGCGUAAAGAGCGUGUAGGCGGCCCGGUAAGUCCGCUGUGAAAGUCCAGGGCUCAACCCUGGAAGGCCGGUGGAAACUGUCGGGCUAGAGUCCGGAAGAGGCGAGUGGAAUUCCUGGUGUAGCGGUGAAAUGGCGCAGAUAUCAGGAGGAACACCGGUGGCGAAGGCGGUUCUCUGGGCCUUACCUGACACUGAGGAGCGAAAGCGUGGGGAGCGAACAGGAU
rnacentral:rRNA from 1 species